rnacentral:rRNA from 1 species
UACGUAGGGUGCGAGCGUUGUCCGGAAUUAUUGGGCGUAAAGAGCUCGUAGGCGGUCUGUCGCGUCGAAUGUGAAAACCCGGGGCUCAACUCCGGGCUUGCAGUCGAUACGGGCAGGCUAGAGUUCGGUAGGGGAGACUGGAAUUCCUGGUGUAGCGGUGAAAUGCGCAGAUAUCAGGAGGAACACCGAUGGCGAAGGCAGGUCUCUGGGCCGAUACUGACGCUGAGGAGCGAAAGCGUGGGGAGCGAACAGG